rnacentral:rRNA from 1 species
UACGUAGGGUGCAAGCGUUGUCCGGAAUUAUUGGGCGUAAAGAGCUCGUAGGCGGUCUGUCGCGUCUGCUGUGAAAACUCGGGGCUAACCCCGGGCCUGCAGUGGGUACGGGCAGACUAGAGUGCGGUAGGGGAGACUGGAAUUCCUGGUGUAGCGGUGAAAUGCGCAGAUAUCAGGAGGAACACCGGUGGCGAAGGCGGGUCUCUGGGCCGAUACUGACGCUGAGGAGCGAAAGCGUGGGGAGCGAACAGG